CGCGACACCCGCUGCCCCACUCACACAUGUCGGUGUUGGUCAGCGUCUAUCUAGCUUAUCCCGGGACGGAGCUCACCCCACCGUUGUCGGUGCCAUGGCCAUCUUGCACAUGGAGCCACCUCCGCCGCCAUCCGCCAGCGUCGACGACGAGCGCGACCCCGAGUAUUGAGAGGCUAUGCGAGGGCGAUGAGGCCGAAGAGUCCAAGUUUGUCCCUUGGCCGCCACCCUUCCUGUCGCACGCGACCACUGCACCAUCUCGCUCGCACGAGCAUGACACCCCCGCUACCAUCCCUCGAACGAAGCCCUAUCCUCGCCUCCGGCUACCUCCUGAAUCCCCCCACCAUGCUGCCUCACCUCGCUGACUCACUUACACCUAGCAACCGCCGACGCCGGAUCCCGUCUCCAUGGUCAGCGUCGUCGAUCGCCUCCGGCUGCCCGGCCACUUCCAUCUUAUCAAAGAAGCCGCCAGUCCUCCAUCUUCUCAAAGAAGCUGACGGCACUGGGCUCUUGCUACCGAGUACGCACCUCCCCAUGUCUGGCCGGUGGCAGCAUGUCGCAUCGGUUGCCAUACCACCGAGUAGCCAACAGUAACUACCUGGAGUGCCUUUCUCUGCCCGAAGAUCUCAUUUCCGAUCUGGAUUACAGGAACUAUGGGGCACAAUAAUCGCCGCUUUUGUCUGCAUAACCUUGCCAUUAAUCCAAGUAAGCACUCCUUUUUUGCUUGAUGUAUGUACCCUUUGAUAGUUGCUUGAUUCCUUUUGUUGUUGUUGGCACUGGUUAUCAUGGGAGAGUUGGAGAGAGCACAUGGAUAAGCAGCACGCCCGCUUCCUGAACCAAAAUUUCGAUUUUGCAUGAACGGUUGUUCUAUGUUCUCAGACUUUCUUUUGAUUUUAGGUCUGUAUGUAUGAACGGUAGUGUUUGCUCGAUGCUGAUUGGUAUAAGGACUGAAGAAUGUAUGUAGCUUUUUUAUCUAUUGGACAAUUGGAUGUUUCACACUAACGUAAUUGAGUGAGGCUUGGUAUUUAGGACCAAGUUAUUAACGAAGGUUGACUUAGCUAGGUCCUGUAGAUGCAAAAUACAGUAUGCGAGACGAUUGGAUUAUCAUUUGCGACAAUGUUAUUGUCAUUAAUGUUCUAGCAGCAUUACUUAUAGUCCCCAAGGCAUUAUUUAAGUUCAUAAUUUUUACAUAAAUCAUAAAUUUGAAAUGUUCAAGCAAAAUCAUAUGACUUGUUUAGCUCGGAAAUUGAGAGAUGUAGGAAACUAAAUUCUUCCAUGUCUGAGACAUUUCUUUUGAGUUCAGUUUUCUCCAACAUCUUAUUCUUAGGGAUGUCUAAACUGAUAGAGAACAAUUAACGACGGGAAUUGUCUCAAGAACCUUAGGAGCUGAAUGUGAGUGAGCUUUGCAUGGAAUCAAAUUUUCAGUUAUAAUGGCACAAGAUUUAGUUUCCUCCAGUAUCUCACUCACGGGCAUAUCUCAUGUACCGGAGCCAUCCACACCGACUGUAUAGAACCAGGCCUCCACUGCUCCGACGCUUCACCAGGCAGGCGGCCACGAGGUGCGAGGAAAUUGGACUAAAGAUGAUGGAUACUAAUGAGGAAAUGGGAUAGUGGGAGGAUUGCCGAAGCUGGCCAAGCAAAAGGGCCCUGCAUCGAGGUUGAUGGAGACGAUUGAGCUGCUCGCCGAUUAUUGGUAACAAUGUAGAGCAGCUCUAUCAAAUUGCCAUGGUUGGAGCAUAACCAUAGGGUUCAGGUUGCAGCUCAUUGUGCACUUAAGAUCACAGGGUCAAAAAUUCCACGUGAACUCUUUAGUUCAUAUCGUCUUUACUACCAGCUUGGUUAAAUUUUCUUUGGGAUACCAGCUUGGUUAAUUGUUGCCCUAUCUUUCAUAUAAUUGAGCCGAUAGGUGGAACCGACAAUACUAUAGAUGUUUAUUUUGUUAUAUGGAUCCAAUCUUUGAGCUCGU